rnacentral:rRNA from 1 species
UACGUAGGGUGCGAGCGUUAAUCGGAAUUACUGGGCGUAAAGCGUGCGCAGGCGGUUCGUUAAGUUCGGUGUGAAAGCCCCGGGCUCAACCUGGGAACUGCAUUGGAAACUGGCGGGCUUGAGUGUGGCAGAGGGGGGUGGAAUUCCACGUGUAGCAGUGAAAUGCGUAGAGAUGUGGAGGAACACCGAUGGCGAAGGCAGCCCCCUGGGCUAACACUGACGCUCAGGCACGAAAGCGUGGGGAGCAAACAGG